UUCUCUGUGUCUAUAUAUAUCUUAUUGGCUCUGUUUCUCCAGAGAACCCUAAUAUAGAUGAAGUCUCCGUAAAACACCAGGAGGGUGUUGGAAACAGAGAAGACUGUGUCUGAAGAAACUUGAAUCCGAGCUGAAACCAAUGUAUGAAAGAAAGAAGGAAAGAAAGGAAAAGUGAGAGCAUCGUAAUGUGGCAUGGAAGAAUGGUGUCACUGGAGAGUUUUACACUCCCUGAAGCAUGUCCCACUGAGUUCUGGGGUGGAGCAAGGUCAAUACAGGAGCUGGGAAGGAAAACAUUUUGGUUAGUGAGGAUGAUAGAAAUAGAGUCUUCCCCCCAGGCUUUCCUGUCUCCCCACUGUGGGAGGAGAGAGAUUGAAAGGAAUGCUGGGGCAUGGUGCUUACGAGUAGAAGAACAGUGAUAGAACUAUGAAUAAGGAAGUUGAAAGAAGAAAAACAAAUUUGGAGACC
rnacentral:lncRNA from 1 species